CAGGUGCUGCAUGGCUGUCGUCAGCUCGUGUUGUGAAAUGUUGGGUUAAGUCCCGCAACGAGCGCAACCCUUAUCCUUUGUUGCCAGCGGUCCGGCCGGGAACUCAAAGGAGACUGCCAGUGAUAAA
rnacentral:rRNA from 1 species